GAUGAACGCUAGCGGCAGGCCUAAUACAUGCAAGUCGAACGGUGUCUUCGGACAUAGUGGCGCACGGGUGCGUAACACGUAUGCAACCUACCUUACAUUGGGGGAUAGCCUUUCGAAAGGGAGAUUAAUACCGCAUAAGACAGUAGCUGGGCAUCCAGCAGCUGUUAAAGAUUUAUCGAUGUAAGCUGGGCAUGCGUCCAAUUAGAUAGUUGGUGAGGUAACGGCUCACCAAGGCAAGGAUUGGUAGGGGAACUGAGAGGUCAAUCCCCCACACUGGCACUGAGAUACGGGCCAGACUCCUACGGGAGGCAGCAGUAGGGAAUAUUGGGCAAUGGACGCAAGUCUGACCCAGCCAUGCCGCGUGCAGGAUGAAGGCGUUAUGCGUUGUAAACUGCUUUUAUACAGGAAGAAACGACUCUUGCGAGAGGCAUUGACGGUACUGUAUGAAUAAGCACCGGCUAACUCCGUGCCAGCCGCCGCGGUAACAC
rnacentral:rRNA from 1 species